CCUGUCCCUGUAGGCAUUGCAGUUGUGGCUGCUGUGUCUCGUGUGUAUAAGUAGGUGGCAGAGAGGAGAGAGGCUAUGUCUAUGCUCAGUGUCCUGACCUUUGAACAUCUGAAUGAUUAGUAACCUAAUGUU